GACGAACGCUGGCGGCGUGCUUAACACAUGCAAGUCGAACGGAAAGGCCCUGCUUUUGUGGGGUGCUCGAGUGGCGAACGGGUGAGUAACACGUGAGUAACCUGCCCUUGACUUUGGGAUAACUUCAGGAAACUGGGGCUAAUACCGGAUAGGAGCUCCUGCUGCAUGGUGGGGGUUGGAAAGUUUCGGCGGUUGGGGAUGGACUCGCGGCUUAUCAGCUUGUUGGUGGGGUAGUGGCUUACCAAGGCUUUGACAGGUAGCCGGCCUGAGAGGGUGACCGGCCACAUUGGGACUGGGAUACGGCCCAGACUCCUACGGGAGGCAGCAGUGGGGAAUAUUGCACAAUGGGCGGAAGCCUGAUGCAGCAACGCCGCGUGCGGGAUGACGGCCUUCGGGUUGUAAACCGCUUUCGCCUGUGACGAAGCGUGAGUGACGGUAAUGGGUAAAGAAGCACCGGCUAACUACGUG
rnacentral:rRNA from 1 species